AUUGAACGCUGGCGGCAGGCCUAACACAUGCAAGUCGAACGGUAACAGGAAGAAGCUUGCUUCUUUGCUGACGAGUGGCGGACGGGUGAGUAAUGUCUGGGAAACUGCCUGAUGGAGGGGGAUAACUACUGGAAACGGUAGCUAAUACCGCAUAACGUCGCAAGACAAAAGAGGGGGACCUUCGGGCCUCUUGCCAUCGGAUGUGCCCAGAUGGGAUUAGCUAGUAGGUGGGGUAACGGCUCACCUAGGCGACGAUCCCUAGCUGGUCUGAGAGGAUGACCAGCCACACUGGAACUGAGACACGGUCCAGACUCCUACGGGAGGCAGCAGUGGGGAAUAUUGCACAAUGGGCGCAAGCCUGAUGCAGCCAUGCCGCGUGUAUGAAGAAGGCCUUCGGGUUGUAAAGUACUUUCAGCGGGGAGGAAGGGAGUAAAGUUAAUACCUUUGCUCAUUGACGUUACCCGCAGAAGAAGCACCGGCUAACUCCGU
rnacentral:rRNA from 1 species